rnacentral:miRNA from 1 species
AACCUCAUUGGCUGGAAGGGAUUCCUUCCAGUCAAUGAGGUAUAACAUCCUCAUCGACAGAGGGAAUCCCUUCCAAUUGAUGAGGUA